UGGGGAAUAUUGGGGCAAUGGGGCGAAAAGCCUGACCCAGCGACGCCGCGUGAGGGAAGACGGUCUUCGGAUUGUAAACCUCUUUCAGCAGGGAAGAAGCAAGUGACGGUACCUGCAGAAGAAGUCACGGCUAACUACGUGCCAGCAGCCGCGGUAAUACGUAGGUGGCGAGCGUUAUCCGGAAUUAUUGGGUUUAAAGGGUGCGCAGGCGGCGCGCCAAGUCAGCGGUCAAAGUUCCGGGCUCAACCCGGUGUCGCCGUUGAAACUGGCGUGCUCGAGUGCGUGCGAGGAAGGCGGAAUGCGUUGUGUAGCGGUGAAAUGCAUAGAUAUGACGCAGAACUCCGAUUGCGAAGGCAGCUUUCCAGCGCGCUACUGACGCUGAGGCACGAAAGCGUGGGGAUCGAACAGGAUUAGAUACCCUGGUAGU
rnacentral:rRNA from 1 species